UGUACAGCUUUUUGGAUGACACCUCAGAAAUUCUGUGACCUCGCCACUACACAGUGGGGGAUCCAACCUUGGAGAGCUGAGCAUGCA
ensembl:snoRNA SNORD39 Small nucleolar RNA SNORD55/SNORD39